rnacentral:rRNA from 1 species
AUUGAACGCUGGCGGCAUGCCUUACACAUGCAAGUCGAACGGCAGCACGGGAGCAAUCCUGGUGGCGAGUGGCGAACGGGUGAGUAAUAUAUCGGAACGUGCCCAGUCGUGGGGAUAACGUAGCGAAAGCUACGCUAAUACCGCAUACGAUCUAUGGAUGAAAGCGGGGGAUCGCAAGACCUCGCGCGAUUGGAGCGGCCGAUAUCAGAUUAGGUAGUUGGUGAGGUAAAGGCUCACCAAGCCGACGAUCUGUAGCUGGUCUGAGAGGACGACCAGCCACACUGGGACUGAGACACGGCCCAGACUCCUACGGGAGGCAGCAGUGGGGAAUUUUGGACAAUGGGCGCAAGCCUGAUCCAGCAAUGCCGCGUGCAGGAUGAAGGCCUUCGGGUUGUAAACUGCUUUGUACGGUACGAAACGGUGAGCUCUAAUACAGUUGCUAAUGACGGUACCGUAAGAAUAAG